rnacentral:tRNA from 1 species
AAUAGCUCAGUUGGUAGAGCACAACCUUGCCAAGGUUGGGGUCGUGGGUUCGAAUCCCAUUU